CUAUUCUGAUAGUAUGCUUUGAAAAAAAUCGAAGAAAAUGCUAAUUUUAUAAAUUCAGCAGACGACAGUUUAGCAGACGACAAAUUUCCCAGCAUGCAAAGGAUUAAUAUACAUGAGAUUCCAGGCGGAAUUUAAAAUCUGUACCACUCUGAUCUCCAGUAGCAGCCCCAGCUGUGGGAGGCAGAUUCAUGAUGCACCUAUGGCCUUAAUUAUCUCAAAACAUCCCAACCUCACAUGACCUGUAGGGCGGGGAUGUAUAUAAAUGAUCAUUAAAUCCCACAAACCAAGGAGAGGUUAUAUUGGAGUCAAUUUUAUUGGUUUGUGUUCAGUGUCAAGCAGUAUCCUAGCAAUCAAGUCAAGUCAGCGCAGCAGCAACAACAGAUGAAGCAGCAGUCGUACGCAAUACAUCAACAACACUGGUGCAUAUGCAUUAAACUAUAAAGAAGAAAACCGGAUAACAAAGCGUUGAUUUUGUUCUGGAUGCAUUAGCAGUCACAGUACAUGAACCGACAGUAGUCAUCUUCUCGAGAUUCUGGCCUCUGAACCAUCAGUCUAUGAACAUAAUGCAGAGCAAUCUAGGGACGCCAAUUGACGAAAUCAAACUGACCAAUCAGCAACAAAGCCUGUUGCAGCAGUUGUUACCAUAUUGACCCCAGUCAAAUCAUGGAAGCUUAGACAUAAAUACUGUUUAAGAUGUGCCAGUCUCUACAGACCUCGUGGUCUGUUAAGCACUUACUCUGACAGGUGUCAUCUUUGGAUUUUGUGACAGGUGGAAAAUGAAUAACCUUGUUCAGAUUGAAAUGGCAGAAUGAAAAAGCACAAUUCACGCGAAAAGCCAUAUAUUAAUU